GCAGUCGUGGCCGAGUGGUUAAGGCGAUAGACUAGAAAUCCAUCCUGGUCUCCCCGCAGAGGCUCGAAUCCUCUCGACUGCG
rfam:Ixodes scapularis strain Wikel colony gcontig_1107728926854, whole genome shotgun sequence.